rnacentral:misc_RNA from 1 species
GAUGAAGAACGUAGUGAAAUGCGAUACGUAAUGUGAAUUGCAGAAUUCAGUGAAUCAUCGAAUCUUUGAACGCAUAUUGCGCUCUCUGGUAUUCCGGAGAGCAUGCUUGUUUGAGUAUCAGUAAACACCUCAACUCUUUUUUCUUUUUUGAAAUUGGAGCUGGACUUGAGUGAUCCCAACGCUUUCUUCCAAGAAAGUGGCGGGUUGCUUGAAAUGCAGGUGCAGCUGAACUUUUCUCUGAGCUAUAAGCAUAUCUAUUUAGUCUGCCUAAAAAACAGAUUAUUACCUUUGCUGCAGCUAACAUAAAGGAGACUAGUUCUUGUGCUGACUGAUGCAGGAUUCACAGAGACAGCUUCGGCUGACUUUGUAAACUCGAUCUCAAAUCAAGUAAGACUACCCGCUGAACUUAAGCAUAUCAAUAAGCGGAGGA